UUUCCGUAGGUGAACCUGCGGAAGGAUCAUUAAUGAUUGCAAAUGGGUUGCCUUCGGUGCUGGCUCCUUGAAAGAGCAAGUGCACGUUGGUGGCUUUCAUCCAAUACCCUUGUGAACCUAGGCCUCUUGCUAGCUUCGGCUGGUGGAGGAUUUUUAUACAUACACACUCGAAUGUAAUGAAAAACUAUUGUCGUGCGCAAGCACUAAUGUACAACUUUCAACAACGGAUCUCUUGGCUCUCGCAUCGAUGAAGAACGCAGC
rnacentral:misc_RNA from 1 species